rnacentral:rRNA from 1 species
UCAAUAAGCGGAGGAAAAGAAACUAACAAGGAUUCCCCUAGUAACGGCGAGUGAAGCGGGAAAAGCUCAAAUUUGUAAUCUGAUGCCUUCGGUAUCCGAGUUGUAAUCUCGAGAAGUAUUUUCCGCGCUGGACCGCACAUAAGUCUGUUGGAACACAGCGUCAUAGUGGUGAGAACCCCGUAUAUGGUGCGGAUGCCCAGUGCUUUGUGAUAUACUUUCGAAGAGUCGAGUUGUUUGGGAAUGCAGCUCAAAUUGGGUGGUAAAUUCCAUCUAAAGCUAAAUAUUGGCGAGAGACCGAUAGCGAACAAGUACCGUGAGGGAAAGAUGAAAAGCACUUUGGAAAGAGAGUUAACAGUACGUGAAAUUGUUGGAAGGGAAACGCUUGAAGUCAGACUUGCAUUUUGGAGUUCAGCCGCAAGGUGUAUUCUUCGAUUCGCAGGCCAGCAUCAGUUUUCGGGGGUGGAAAAUCGUGGUUUGAAGGUAGCAGUUUCGGCUGUGUUAUAGCUUUCCACUGGAUUCACUUUUGGGGACUGAGGAACGCAGUACGCUUUUUGCAAGACUUUCGAGUUUUUCGUACUUAGGAUGCUGRUGGAAUGGCUUUAAACGACCCGUCUUGAAAC